UACGGAGGAUGCAAGCGUUAUCCGGAAUCAUUGGGCGUAAAGCGUCCGCAGGUGGCACUUCAAGUCUGCCGUCAAAGACCGUAGCUCAACUACGGAAAGGCGGUGGAAACUGAAGCGCUAGAGUGCAGUAGGGGUAGAGGGAAUUCCCAGUGUAGCGGUGAAAUGCGUAGAGAUUGGGAAGAACACCGAAGGCGAAGGCAGUGUCCUGGGGAGUACCUGACGCUCAGGUGCGAAAGCCAGGGGAGCGAACGGG
rnacentral:rRNA from 1 species